AUGGAGAAGAGCGGGGGGAGGGAGGUGGAUCCGUUUGCCUUUGACUGGAGAUGCUGGCAGACUGCAUUUUCAGCACUGUGCUUCUUCCAGAGACCAGCGCUCCCAAAUGUCAGCCCGGUCCGCUGCAGAGGGGGCGACUGUGUAAAAAUGCACUCACAAGGCAGCGAAGCCUUGGACUUCCCUGAUCACAGAAUGGAUAAGAAUCUGCCCGCCAGUGCAGGGCACAUGGGUUCGAUCCCUGGUCCGGGAAGAUCCCUCAGGCCACGGAGCGAUAACCACCGAGGCCUGCGUGCCCUACAGCCUGCGCUCACAACAAGGGGCGCCACGAUGGUGAGAGGCCGAGCUCGGCGACAGGAGAGCAGCCCCGCUCACUGCAACUGUAGAAGAGCCGCACACAGCAACAAGGCCCACGAGACCAAAAGCCUGGGGACGUUUCCAGAUAAAGAGAGGACACAGGCAAAAACGGCACAUUCCUCCCUGUAUCUAACAGAGCUCAAUUUGGAACUGGCAGUCAGAGGGAUGGGAGGCGGUUGGAGAGAGGAGCUGCUGCUGCUGCGGCCGGCGUUUUCCUGCAGGUGGGCGCACUCUGCCAGAACUGCCUUCGCAGGAAGCAGAGAGGAACAUCUUUGGUGACCGUGCAGCGUCCCUCAGCCAGCGCUUGUAAACCGGCCUCCCCGACCUCUGACGACAAGGGAAAUCAGACGCUGGCCCUGCCGAGGGGUAACUUACGUGACUCUUUCGUGUGGAAUUCCAAUCCCACCCCCAGGAGCUGCUUUUCCAUUUCACUGCUGCCCUCUCCUCAUCACCCUGACCUGCCUCUGCACUCCCCAGCCAAUUGACUUUUAUCUUCACGGAAGGAGGGCAUUGCCUGCCUCUUCCAGUUCUGCUCUGGGCAGGAUUUCUCUUGAAGGCUCUUCUGAGAUGUGAUGGCUGCUUCUGCGACGAGAGGCGGCUCUGCAGCUCCAGCUUGCUUCUGAAGUAGGAGUGUCAUGCACACCUGAGAGAUCCCAGAGGUCACUGAUUCUUGGUUUCUCUUCCCAAUCUGAGUUAUCAUCAGGCAUUUCAAAGGUGCUAUGCACAGAGCUAUGUGUCCCAAAAACGGGUUUCUUGGAGCCAUAAUCCCCAGUGGGACAGUAUUUGGAAGUGAAGCCUUUGGGAGGUGAUUGGAUUUAGAGGAGGCCAUGAGGGUGGGGCCCCCGUGAUGGGACUGGUGCCCGUAAGAAGACUCUCUAGAGAGCUUGCUCUCCCUGGCCCUGCCCGGCAACCAUGUGAGCACACAGAAGCAAGCCAUUCGCAAGUGGGGAGGAGAGCUCUAACUAGAGCUCAGCCAUGCUGCACCCCGAUCUCGGACUUGCAGCCUCCAGAACUAUGAGAAACAAAUGUCUGUUGCCUGAGCCACCCAGUCAGUAGUAAUUUGUUAGAGCAGCCUGAGCAGACUAAGACAGAAUAUUAAAAAACAAACAAACAAAAAAAAAAAACUUCAGUUCAAAAUGCAGUUGGAGUAACGGACAUCUGUGUGUUCUGCCCCAGGAUGAAGGACCACUCCAUCAUUUCCUCACUGAUACCUUGGCAGGCGUCUUCGUUUCUCUGGACCUCAGUUUCCUCAUCUGUGAAGCACAAAUGGGUUCCCCUGCCUCUGCUAUUCCCCCACCCCAGACGGUUGUAAUCAGAAAUCAGGAAACAGGACUCAAACACACCUAACACAGUCUUGAGCACUGAGUAAAGUGAAGUCACUCAGUCGUGUCCGACUCUUUGUGAUCCCAUGGACUGUAGCCUAGCAGGCUCCUCCCUCCAUGGGAUUCUCCAGGCAAGAGUACUGGAGUGGGUUGCCAUUUCCUUCUCCAGGGGAUCUUCCCUACCCAGGGAUCGAACCCGGGUCUCCCGCAUUGGAGGCAGACGCUUUAACCUCUGAGCCACCAGGAAAGCCCUUGAGCACUGAGUAAACCCUCAAUAAACACAGUUGAGAUUCCCAAGGAGCUGGAAAACAAGUCUGUCCUGACAAAGAAUACAAUAAGAAGCAGCACCUUAAGCAAAAUAGAUGAAUAAAUAACAUCCUUAGUGGCCAUCAGGGUCCCAAGCACCUGGAGAUGGCGAGGAGACUGACUGGCCAUCUCCGGCAGCCCAUCUCUCCUCCGAAGGUCAGCCUGGGCUCCUUACCACACAAUGGGCUGAGACAAACGGCAGGACCCAAACCUGCUGAUGAAGCUGAUGAUCCGGCUCCCUGACGUCCAAGCAUGAGCUCAUCC
ensembl:lincRNA